UAUGGCUUAACCAUAGAACUGCUUGGGAAACUGAUAAUCUAGAGUGAGGGAGAGGCAGAUGGAAUUGGUGGUGUAGGGGUAAAAUCCGUAGAGAUCACCAGGAAUACCCAUUGCGAAGGCGAUCUGCUGGAACUCAACUGACGCUAAUGCGUGAAAGCGUGGGGAGCAAACAGGAUUAGAUACCCUGGUAGUCCACGCCCUAAACGAUGUAUACUAGUUGUUGCUAAGCUAGUCUUGGCAGUAAUGCACCUAACGGAUUAAGUAUACCGCCUGGGGAGUACGGUCGCAAGAUUAAAACUCAAAGGAAUAGACGGGGACCCGCACAAGCGGUGGAGCAUGUGGUUUAAUUCGAAGAUACGCGAAGAACCUUACCCGGACUUGAUAUCUAACAAAUCAUCUAGAGAUAGAAGAGUGUCUGCUUGCAGAAAUGUUAAGACAGGUGCUGCACGGCUGUCGUCAGCUCGUGUCGUGAGAUGUUGGGUUAAGUCCCGCAACGAGCGCAACCCACGUCAUUAGUUGCUAACAGUUC
rnacentral:rRNA from 1 species